rfam:Picea glauca, whole genome shotgun sequence.
GGGUGUGAUCAUACCAGCAUUAAUGCACCGGAGCCCAUCAGAACUCCGCAGUUAAGCACGCUUUGGCUAGAGUAGUACUGGGAUGGGUGACCUCCCGUGAAGUCCUAGUGUUGAACCCU